rnacentral:rRNA from 1 species
UACGGGGGGGGCAAGCGUUGUUCGGAAUUACUGGGCGUAAAGGGCUCGUAGGUGGCCAACUAAGUCAGACGUGAAAUCCCCAGGCUCAACCUGGGAACUGCGUCUGAUACUGGAUGGCUUGAAUUCGGGAGAGGGAUGCAGAAUUCCAGGUGUAGCGGUGAAAUGCGUAGAUAUCUGGAGGAAUACCGGUGGCGAAGGCGGCAUCCUGGACCGAAAUUGACACUGAUGAGCGAAAGCGUGGGGAGCAAACAGG